CCUACGGGAGGCAGCAGUGGGGAAUAUUGGACAAUGGGGGCAACCCUGAUCCAGCCAUGCCGCGUGAGUGAAGAAGGCCCUAGGGUUGUAAAGCUCUUUCAGGUGUGAGGAUGAUGACAGUAGCACCAGAAGAAGCCCCGGCUAACUUCGUGCCAGCAGCCGCGGUAAUACGAAGGGGGCUAGCGUUGUUCGGAUUUACUGGGCGUAAAGGGCGUGUAGGCGGACGAUCAAGCUAGGGGUGAAAGCCCAGGGCCCAACCCUGGAAUUGCCCUUAGAACUGGUUGUCUAGAAUCCGUAAGGGGAGUGUGGAAUUCCUAGUGUAGAGGUGAAAUUCGUAGAUAUUAGGAAGAACACCAGUGGCGAAGGCGGCACUCUGGUACGGUAUUGACGCUGAGGCGCGAAAGCGUGGGGAGCAAACAGGAUUAGAUACCCUGGUAGUCCACGCCGUAAACGAUGUCUGCUAGCCGUUUGGGCACUUAGUGUCUGGGUGGCGCCGCUAACGCAUUAAGCAGACCGCCUGGGGAGUACGGUCGCAAGAUUAAAACUCAAAUGAAUUGACGG
rnacentral:rRNA from 1 species